GUUCAUUUAUUCACAGGCGGGGGAACAACAUUCUGACGGCCUCUUGGUACCGUCACAGACUCAGAUCCACUGAUAGAUGCCUGUGUUCUGGAGUUGUGCUUUCGUGCGGACGGGGGGGAUUCAUCGCGGCUCUUGCAAGUUUAAAGAAAUGGAAUCGUGCUCCGUGUUAUAUGGCCCCGAGUAAUGAAGAAGAGAAGAUGGAAGGAAGGAAGGAAGGAGGGAGGGAGAAAAAGAGGAGGUGUGCUAAACCCUGGUUUCCCUCCUCAGCCCUUUUGGGAUAUGAAGGCCCCAGAUGGUGUAGGGGUGUGAAAGCAGUGUGUGUGUGUGUGUGUGUGUGUGUGUGUGCGUGCGUGCGUGCGUGCGUGCGUGCGUGUGUGUGUGUGUGCGUGCGUAUAUAUUAAAGUCUGUUUGUCAGUUUCUCUGUCUGUCUGUCCAUCUGUAAUUUCCUUCCAAAAUCAGGGGCGUCCUUAGUGAAGGAACCCUGCCCUAAUGUCAUCCGUGUGAGGGGAAGCUUGUCUGUCUGUCUGAAUGGAAACAAAAGACAGUGGACACAACUAACCCCCCAAAAUCAUCUUUGUCCCCGUUGCCCUCUGCCGCCCAGAGCCUGACACCCAGCUCUAGGGGCUUUGAUUAGCCAAGUGGAGACGCUGGGGAGUCACAAUACCCUCUGCCCUGAUUAGCCUGCACUUGGCCACUGCUGACCCCUCCUUCCAAAGAGAAUCAUGUGAAGGGGCUGGAGAUACUGAAACAAGGCAUUUGGGAAGGAACAUCAUGCACCUUGACCUGUCUAGACACUGCUGGUGUAACAAAUAGAUAAUGUGGCCUUUUCAUGUUAUUGAUGUUCUGCCCUCUCUUUUAUGUUUGAGGCAACUAUAAGGCCAAUAGGUAAACUGUUUUCUGUUCUAGUAUUUUUUUUUACUUUUAAUAGUGAAAUCAUUCCUAGUUAUUUUUUUACAUAUUUACGUCACAUAGGAAAAGUUUUCCAGUUUCCGACAUUCUGAGACUCCACAUUUUCUGUAAGUAUUUCUUCUUAACCAAAUUGAUGUACUACUCAAGUUUUGUUUUCUGUUGCCUUAGAUUGCUUGGCUGUUUUACAAAGCAUUUUUUCUGGUGACAUUUAAAUUGUGUUUAUUUAUUGUAUGAUAAUUCUAGUUAGUCAUAAGACAUAUGACGUACAUCUACUAUACCAUGUCACAUACUAUGUUAAAUUGAAAAUAAAUCUAUUUUCAACUUUAUCUAGUUUUUACAUCUCAAAGUAGAUACAUCGUUAUCGUUUGUGUGGGUUUCAUAACUAAUUGUGCACAAGAAAUAAUAUUUUUUCAUACAAAUGAACCACUAAACCAUAAAAAUACUUGCAAUACAUAAUGUGAAAGUUACUGAAUCUUAAAACUACAUCUUUGUCCUUUCUUGUAUUAUGCUGAGUCAAGAUAUCAAAUCUGAUGAUUGUGCCUUUUGGGAGUUAGACACUCAAAACCUGAUGACAGGUGAAAUAUUUGGUCACCAGAAUAUUACGAUUUCCCAAUAUUUCUGAAAUGCUGGUGUGAAUGUUAUGUUUAGACAGUGAUUUUUCCAUUCAUUAUGAAUGGCUGUAGGCAUAGUUUUCUCACUGUAACUGCAGGAAGUGCCGCUGUUGUUGUUCCUGUGUGGGUGGGUGGGUGGGUGGGUGCCCGCAUCGCUACCGCGGCUUUGCCGGUUCCCUCCAUUGUCAUGCAGCGAUAUCCCCAACAGACCCUGAAUCUGUAAUGGUUGAGUGUUCUGUCAGUAAUAAUAGUGUCUAGAUUGGUUAAAUCUGACCCUGGAACAGUCCUAGAAGAACGCAUUUAUAGAGGUGAAUUGUAGAAGAGAUGCAGUGGUGGGGGUUGUUAUGGCGUGCUCUGUUUGGCUGCUUCUGCCCCGCCCUCUAACCAGCCACUCAGAGCCAAGAAAAUGGCAGCUGCAGUGAGCUGCCAAGUGAACACCGAUUCUCCACCCACCCCUCCAUUUCACCAAUCGCCCCCACCCAUCCACCCCGCUCUCCCUCUCCCAUGUUUUGUCAGUUUUGCAGUAAAAUGAAUUAGAAUCUUGGGUUCUUUGCCAUCUUAUAAAUGCCUUCCAACAUUCUUGCCAUUAUUACGUCUUAUGCCCACGUUGGCAGUUCAGUACUGCCCAGGUUGACGUAUGAAGCGUCAACGCCCCACACCGAUAGCAAUUUGUGUAGAUAGAAGAAAAUGAAGUAGAUGUUAUGUCUCGAUCAUGUCUAACCUCACACAGACACACCUCUGCCCACUUUAUCUUCCGCUGCACGUAACCACGAAGAACAUAAGCCUCAUACAGGGGAUCCUUUAGUACAUUUCAUGGCAGUCAAAGCGUCGGGAAUGUUUUAAUGAAUGCUGUCAUAUGUAUGUCAUUUCUGAUGAAUGGAUGUUGUCAGGGGUUUUAUUUUGGCUGAUGUAUAAUUGAGAGUGUGGAAUCUGAAUCGCUGUUGUAAAACAGAGACGGCAUUCACUCAGGUGUUUAUUCACACUAAGUUUGAGAUUUAUUUUGAUUAACAGGUGCACGUAAAAUCUGCAUGUUAGAACACGAAAUGUAUUAAAUAGAAAAAUUAGUUUUUAUAAUUUUAAGCGUGUUUGUAAUGUCUCUGCGUAGGUGUCUGUUUGUCCGUUGAGUCCUGCGUCUUUCAAUUUCAGCAUCCUACAUAUAAUUAUGGUGCAUCAUAGGUUCCUAAUUUUUAUUUUCUAUAUUUGUUUUCAAGUUUUCUGCCUAAAGUGAGCUGAUUUGCCCUGCUAUGGCGAAACUAAACUCACUGAAGUGUCUGAUUAAAUCGUUACCAAGAAACACUAAACAAUGACCCAGUUAGUUCGUCUAUCCUCUGUUUGGCUUUGCCAGCACACCAGAAUGAGGCAGGGCUUCUUCCUUGAAGAAUGCAAAAUAAUUUCCACAUAAUAGUGCCGACACUUAGUCUUUAUUUGUCUGAGACUGACCCUCUAUGGAUGCAUUUGUGGAUGUGAGCAUGUUAAGAGAAUAUUCCAAGGUUAUUCUGUGGACAGCAUGAGACCCUCCCUAUUUUCCAUCUUGAGUUGAUGGUAAAAUGCAGCUUGGCAGUUCAAAUGAAUAGAUCAUUGCGUGUCGGAUGUGCAAUAACACACUGUAUAUCUAAAAGUAUGCUAUAGUGUCUUUAAAUCUGAAGCAUGCAAAUUUGUAUUUCCCAUGUUUGACUGAUGCUGUUUUUGUGAAUUUGUCUGUGUUCUUUGUCACAGGAUAGUGAAGAGGAGCAGAGAUGGUGUGUCUUCCGAGAUGAAACAGGUAGCAAUAUGAAAGUAUAUACAUUGUAUGCAUAACUGUCUUUACCGCAUUCCUCUGUAUACCUCACUUCCUGUAAUGUACUCUUAUACUCAAAUAAAUUUCCAUCAGUACAGUGAAUAGGCCUACAGAAAUUCUUUUAAAUGCUCUCAUACAAUCACUAUACAUGUUGUAUAUGAUAUUGUAAAUAUCAGCGUAAUGUUACUGGCAGUCUAGCGAAGCACAUUUACAUUUAGUCAUUUAGCAGACGCUUUUAUCCAAAGCGACUUACAGAUGAGGUAGGCCAUGAUCUUAAUAUAAAACAAACUAAAGGUAGAAAACUCUUUAUUUUACACAUUACACUGUUCAUUUUUACACAAGCUACACAUUUGUGAGUUUGUGUGUCCUAUUCUUUGUCAGUUGAUGUCAAAAAUAUGUGCAUGUUUAUUAUCCAGCGUUAGUAAUUUUCUUGUAAUUGCAAUUUUCUGGCUAAUCCAUGUACAAAUAUGACCUUUUUGUAAAAUGGACACCGCACACAACCACACAUUAAUAUGUAUCUACUUUAUAUAAACCACAUAUCGGUGUGUUGUCUGUCCGCAAUGUCUGAUAUUAUAAAUAA